UUCCUUCAAUAACAGCUCAGAGAUCAGCGUGUCCAAUAUCUCAGGAUUGGACCUCUUGCCAUACCUUGGGACACAAAGACACCAGAACGAGACGGAAUUAAGGAAGGAUUAAGCAAGGAUUAUUCAGGUAGCCGCUUCAGUAAAACAAACCAACCCAGCAUGCAUGGAUUAUUGCAUCCCUGCAGGAAAUCAGGAUUCCUUGUCUGCUCCUCAAAUGAUAAAAUGUGGUGGUGAUUUUAACCCUUGCCGACACAUCCACAAAGCUCCUCCCAUCAGAUAGAAGCAGCAACAGGCACAAAGGGCCCGCAGACGCGCCAAAGAAGAGCCGCUCUCGAGCCAUAUAAUCAGUCAGCUCUCUGCGAGGCUGCUCCUGCUCCCUAAGUUGCGCGGAGGAUGCGGUGAGGGUCUUUUGUGUCAUACAGGAUGCGCUGAGAGAUGAGGAA